rnacentral:rRNA from 1 species
GACGUAGGGUGCGAGCGUUGUCCGGAUUUAUUGGGCGUAAAGGGCUCGUAGGCGGCCAACUAAGUCGGAUGUGAAAUCCCCAGGCUCAACCUGGGAACUGCAUCCGAUACUGGAUGGCUUGAAUCCGGGAGAGGGAUGCAGAAUUCCAGGUGUAGCGGUGAAAUGCGUAGAUAUCUGGAGGAAUACCGGUGGCGAAGGCGGCAUCCUGGACCGGCAUUGACGCUGAGGAGCGAAAGCUAGGGGAGCAAACGGG